UCCUUGGUGGUCCAGUGGUUAAGACUCUGCGCUCACAAUGCAGGUGGUCCAGGUUUGAUUCCUGGUCAGGGAA